CCUCGCGUUCAGAAGCUUGAGUGAGCUAGACUAAAGGAAGACAACCAGCUUCACAUUUCGAUGGAGUAUAACUGAAAAAUGGAAACAAAGCUCGGAGCUCCACUGAAAGAAGCUGGAAGUCGGACUGAAGAAGAUGGACCUUCACGAGGUGUUUGGAUUUGGAUGACGACUUAUAGCCUUUUACAAGUUGGAGCCGCUGAACCGAUAAGACGAAGCUACAAUUGAAGAAGAUGAAGAUGAUGGCAAGAAGAUUAUGGCCACCGUUGACAAUAUCUCCCUAGUUUUCCCAGAUUACAACUUCGCUGGACUCGAAGUUGAGGGUUCCACCAUUUGGGGGAAGAAUAUGUUAUGAAUUUUGGGGCAAUUUAUUCACGUGGGCCCUCACUUCUUUAUUCCUUUCGUGUCCCGCAUUUUUUUAAAAUUUUUUUUCCUUGCCAGAUCACCCAAAUUAAAAAUGCUAUCAAACACGUUGUCAAACUCUACUGUAAAACCAGCUUAAUUGUUAAUUCUGGGCCGUCCCCGAAUCUAUUUGUUAAGAGUAAGAACAACGGUAGCAAAGGCAAAGGAACAGAGUGUUGGCAUCUUAACUCCAAAAUUUCAAAAUUUAUUGAUAUCCAUAUUAAAAAUUUUAAGAUUUUUUUUUUUAAUUUGAUUUAUAAUUUAAAAAAUGAAACAAAUUAAGAUAUAAAAAAAUUAAGAACAAGCCAAAACAUCAAAAAUCUCUAGUAAGACGAAAUAAAAUCGUUCAAAACUGCGAAAUUAAUCGGAUCCAGGCGGAUUUGAACCACCAACCUCUCAUAAGCCCCCGAAGCCAAUGAGCGCUCUUCCACUUAGAGCUUAUGGAUCCAUCACAAUAUACCCUCAAAUGAUGUAUUUACGUCAACAAUUCUUCGUAAUCCCAAAAGUACAGAAACAAGUUAUUGUGAUAUUUCCUCUCACUUGAUGACAAUCGAAAGAUAAGGCAAGGGCAUCGGAUAUGGAGUUAAACACAAUACGACGACCAGAGAGCUAACAAAUGCUACUUGCAGGCAGUGAAAUAAAUACUCGUACUGCAAUCUCCUUAAACUUGAAAACAAAUUAAUAAACUUUUAAAAACACCAUUGAAAUAGUAUUUAUAAACAAUUUUAUUUGUAAAUUAAAAAAAAUAUAGCAAAGAAUGAGAGGUACUUGGAAAUUCUCACCACAUGCCAAUGUUGACAAACUCUUGUUUUGUGAGAUUCAAAAUCAAAAUUUUAAUAGAUUUCAAUAAAAAUUGAUAAAAUAUGCCAUUAAAAAAUUUCUGACUUCUGUAAAAUGCAUAAUCAAAAUUACAAUAAUUAUACUUCAACAAAGUUGAAUUACAAAAUUGGCUUUACAAAGUGUGUUGGCAGAAUGCAAACCACUGAUUUGAAAUGAUUUAAAAAUCUAUUUUUGAAAUGAUUGGUGUAAAUCCAACUUUGUCAUCCAAUUUUGUCAAACUCUUUUGUCAUUGUAGCAUAACUCUCAAAAUUAAUCAACUUACUGAAUUUUAAUUAUUGCCAAAUAGAGUGUGGUUCACUAUUGGCUCCCCCAAUCGAGUAUCUAAAAUAUUCAUACCAAACUAUUUUCCUCAAAGAGGAGACGAGACGUGUAACUUUCACAAUGGUAGAGGUUGGCUGUUAACCAAUAGACCGUAAGUCCUAAUCCUACUUCAAGAAAUUUGAUUCAAUCUGAAUUAACAAAUUCAAAAUAAAGAAGCUCACUUUGACCGUUAAGAGUGGGUAACCUACUCCGAGCCUUUUCCUACCAUCGCAAAAGGGUACUGCCAAGCAUGUGCAAGUCAAAUCUUCUUCCACUCCACAUAAUAAAAAAUAAUGACCAGGCUCAACAACUGCUUGUGCCCUAUUUUUCCCUAAAAAUACAUUUUGAAAAAGUAGAUUGUUGAAAAAAAAGUACUUAAAAAUGAAGAAAUUUUUUUUAAUUUAUAUAUAAUAUUAUUUUAUUAAAAAAUGUGAUUGAAAAGAAUAAAAGAAAAAAUAUAUAAUUUUAAUAAUGACGAGGAUUAAGCAAGAACUAAAUGACAUCAGCACUUAAAAAGGUCAUAAAUUAUCGGUCGAAAAAGUUAAUUUACAACCAUUUUUAACAUAGGUGAAUUACAACCACGGACGCAAAAAAACCGUUUAAACCCCAUACCCACUGAAAUCGGGCGGGAUUUCGCUCCCAGUGACAUGGCUCCCACGCUUUUAACAUGACAAAAAGAAUAUAAAAAAUAAAAAAUCAUCAUUCCUUUCAGAAGUAAACAUGGAUCAUUAUUAACACAUUGAAAAAAUAAUAAUAGUAAUAAUUUUCUCUAACUAGAGACAUGAAAAAAUAAAAAUAAAAAUAAAAAAUAAACAAAAUGAUAAACGAGACAACGAACCUACCCCACCACGCCAAACUGAAUAUAGGAGUGGGCCACGAUAACAAAAUACUCGAAGACAAGAAUGGCUGCCCUACCCAACCAAACCAAUCCCAUUGCCAUCCCUAAGAUCAUAUUUCAAAAACGAACUGAUAAAUUAACAAAUAAAUUUUCUUAACUCAAAAUCUUGCAAGAAAAUGGCCAAUAUCGAGAGUUCAAAACUAUAUAAAUGACAAUCUUAUCACUACAAAGACUGAAAAUCGUAAUUAAUUUAUACUUUACCAGUCAGAAAUGGCAAUUAAUCAUUGAUCAAGAUCUCAACUAGACAGACUAUUCAAGCUUAAGAUCAGGAUAAAUUACCAUCAAAUCAACCUGGAAUUCAAAGCCGCAACUCAAAAUAGAGUCUAGAUCAAACCAGAAGCUGGAAUGUAGAGGCAUUUCUUGCAUCCCACACAAUAAAGUGCACUGACCUACUACUGAGAAAUUACUCUGACGAGCAAUCUUACAAAGUUCAGUGUAAAUCAAACAUGCAGCAAGCAUAAAAUACUGGCACAAUAACAGCAUAAACAAGUAAAAAAAUGAAUAAAUAAUAAUAAUAAUAAUAAUAAUAAUAAUAAUAAUAAUAAUAAUAAUAAUAAUAAUAAUAAUAAUAAUAAUUUGGUUGAGAUAAAAAUGCGACAUUUUUCCUUAAAAUGAUAAUACUUCGCAUUUGUGCUAAUCGUUCUCCAGCACUCAUCUCCCAUAAUACAUUAUUAAAACUAUAAAUUUUACUCAAACUUUUCCUAAUAUACUCCUACAUUGAAUAUUAAUAGAUCAUAUUUGUUGAUAAAAGACACAUUUAAUAGAAUUAUAUUUAAAAAAAAAUUAACAUUCUCAAUAAGGAAAAUGAACUAUAAUUUAUCAAUUUGAGAUGAACGAAAAAGGAAAGUGAAUCUAUUUUUAUGGUACGAAGGAAAAUAAUAUAAAAACAGGUAGGUAUGGUGUGGGAUCGAUGAGAUAGGGUAAAUAACUUGAUUUUUUAUAAAUAAUUAUUAGUACUUUGUUUUUAAAAUUAAAAUUUAACAGGUAAGGUUUGAAGUAAUUUUCCAUAUUGAAAUGGAGCAUUUCUAAACCAUUUUCCGUGAUGAUAUAUGAAAGGAACAAUGUUAUAUCAUCAAUAAAUCCAUAAUUUCAUAUCCUAUGAGUAAGAUGUGAAAUUGCAAUUUCAAGAGAAAUUUGUGAAUAAUUUACACUCAUCAAUAUAUGAAUAAUACUAUUUAGUACCAGUAAUAUUAGAUCACUAAUUUUAAGUAGCUACAAUUAAUAGGUUCAAUUAAAUUAGAAUUGCAUAUAAGUGAACCUAUUUAUUUAGCCCCUGUUUCACACCCUUUAUUUUAAAACUUUUUUUUACACUCAUUUUCAACCACUCGUUUAUACAAUAAAAUAUUCUAUACGUAAACCUAAUUUUUCCUACUUUUAACCACACAUUUUUUCAAAAUUUCUCAAUUAAAACAUUGAAAAUUCCAAAUAAUGACCAUCAAAUACGAGCUCAAUGUCAUGUAGAUGCCAUUUGAACUGAUGUUUCACACAAAUUGGGAUGAAUAGCAUCAAUAGCAGAAAACUAUUGAAGUUGGAUCUAUUCAGAAGAGAGGAAAGCGGUACCGAAUUGUAGUUCGGUGCUGCCCAAGCCCAUUUCCAAUAAAAUGCCCAUGAAAAUGAUGAAAAUGUUUUAAUUAUAUUUCAUAGUCCACUAACAAGUAACUAGUCCAACCCAGUUUCUAAAAUGAGGUUUUUAUUUUAAUACUUAGGCACAAUGAUUUGUUUUAGCAGCCAUUACCCAACAACAGUCCACAAAUAUUUCUUUCAUUCAUGAUUCUAACAUUCCCGUCAAUUGAAAAUUUUGAAAACCAAAAUUUCCACAUCCUGUUGGAUAACCCUAAAUCUUUCUAUUUUUUCACUAGCUACCAUCCCACCGAGAGCCAUCAAUCGUUGACCGUCAACCACAAACAAAAUACUAGCUCUGAAGUUUGAAGUUUGAAGUCUGAGUCUAAAGAGUUAUGGCCAACAACUCCUUCGAUUAUUGGUUUGUAAUCGUGGCAUUUUUUUAUACUUAUAUCAAAAUACUUUUCUUGAUUUUCUUUUUUUUUUUCAUUUAUUGUAUUUCUUAAACUUUGAAGGUUUAAUGUGGAUUUAUAAAUUAUAACAUAUUUUGAUGUUUUAAUUUUUUACUAUUUGUGUUUGAUGAUUUUUGGUAUAUAUUAUGUUUGUGAUUUGUGUUAGUUACGAACUUAUAGUCUUAAUCAAUAACUAUCACUCGUGAUUUUCUUUUCAAAUUUUUUUUAUAGAUAUUGGAUUAGUUUGUUUUUUAAAGCAUCGCAACACGCUUCAAUAAUUCAUCACUGCAACGAACUACGUAAACAGGUAUUUUGCUUGACCUUGAGCACCUUGAAUUGCAUUUUACGUUGAAAUAUGAGUUUAUUUAGGAUUGUUGAAUUUGGUUUCGAAUUGUUAACUAAUUAUAAUAUUGUUUAAUUGUUUGAUAAAUAGUUGGAUUGUUGCAAGUGGAUUAUUUUUGGAUUGUUAGGAUAUUGAUGUGUUUUGGUAUUUUAUGCUUUUUAGAUUUUAAUAUGCAAAAAAAAAUUGACAUUUUGCCAAGAAAGGAAGAACAUUAUUAUCAUUCUUCAUAAAAAACAACAAAUUUGAGGGUACUACGAUUCCCAUACUGCCCAUUCCUCCAAUUGCAUCUCAUGAAAUUGAAUUGUCUUCACCUUCUAAUCUUGAGUUGGAACCAUCUAAUUAAAUUGAACAGGUACCAACAAAAAGAAAGCAAAUAUAUGAAUAUCCAUUUAAUGGAUUUGAUCAAAUUAGUCUUGCCUAUUUAAAGGUCGGGCUUUAUUAACCAAAAUUUUUGAAGUAUCAAAGCAAAAAAUGUGAGAAGCAGAAAUGUCGAUUUCAGGAGCAUUGGUACAAUCAGUAUUCUUGAUUGGGGUAUUCGUCUUCAACAUAGGAAGAAUAUUAUUUUUUCUACUUCCAUUUUUUCAAUGGUAGUGUUACACCUAAUUUUUCAUUAUUGGUUACUGCUAAAUUUAAUAGUCGAAAGAGAUUUAGCCAAGGAAGUAAAUAUGCAUUUUAUUCAUAUUGGUACAACAUCUGCAUUGUAUCAUAAUGGUUGUAAGAGAAAAGUUGAAAAUCUAAUGAAACCAACUCAACAUAUUGACAAGGUAAUGCAUGUUGUAUCAAGUGAGGAAAAACAAAAAAAUCGUUUGAAUCAAAAGACCAAAAUUUUAAGUGUUUGGUGGCUAGGGCUUCAAGGUUGUUCCUUUAGAUGCAAUGAUGAAUCUCUAUCUUCACUGAAUCGUGGGAAUUUCUAGAAAUGGUGGAUGCAUUUGAAAAAAUGAAUACAUAUUAGGACGAAUUGUGUUAAGUAAUGCUCCAAAAAAAUGUUAAAUUUACGUCUCUAGAUAAUCAAAAAGAGAUUUUGAACAUUAUGGCCAAUAGAGUACGAUAGAGAAUCCAUGAGGAAGUUUGGAAAGAAAAGUUUAAUAUUCUUGUUGAUGAAGUAUGAGAUGAAUCUUCAUGUGAACAAAUGGCCAAUAUCUUGAGGUUUGAGAGUGGUAAUGAAAUUUUGACAGAAACUUUUUUUUUUUUUUUGCAAUAAAAAAUGUUAGUUACACUACAUCAUUGAAUCUUAAGAACCGAUUUUUCUGAUGUUCUUGUUUGUUUUGGGCUUCAAUUGCCAAAUAUGAGAGAUCAAGUGUAUAAUGGUGCUAAUAAUAUGCGUGAUGCUUGGUAUGAAAUAUAAGCAUUAUUUUUUAGAGAUUAUUCAUAUGCAUAUUAUGUCCAUUGUUUUACCUAUCAUUUACAACUUACAUUAGUUUUAGCAGUUAAAGAUGUCAUGGUUAUUAAUUCAUUCUUGUUCCAUUUGGACGGUGUUAUUAAUAUGAUUACAUCAUCUUAAUUGAAAAGUGCCCAAAGAAAUAAAUUGAACAUUUGUUAAAAAUUGGAGAACAAGAGUCUAGAAGUGGUGAUAAUCAGAUUGUGAAUUUGCAACGAGCUGAAUGUACUCGUUGAUCUUCUCAUUACCACUUUGUAAAGAGUUUAAUUGAUAUGUAUGCUACAACUUGCUAGGUGCUUAAAUAUCUUAGUGAUCAUUCUCCAAAUACAAGAUCUCGAUUCGAAAUGGGUGGUGUAUACAAAAACAUAACAUUCGAAUGGGUAAAGUGGACUCCGCUGCCAAGCUACAAAUGAGUGAAAUACAUACAUAAGCAACCAACUUUGUAAUCCUUGUUCCCAUCCAAUACAGGGGCAGGGUGUUCAAGUUCGAAAUAAACAAGAGUAACUUAUUCCAUCAACUGCAUGGGCUAUCCGAAAAGCAUCAAAAACCUGUUCUACCUUGAUCUGACAAAUGUGGAUAGUAGUACGCAAACGCAUGGCCUAUAAUACAAAUUUAACUUCCGUAAGUGCAUGAAUAAAAAAUCGAAAUGAAUUAUAAAUACACGAUCAAUGUUAACUUACCUUGCGAAUUGUACAAGUCAUUUGUUGACGACAAAUUCAUCAUAUUGGAAGAUUGUAAGCAUUGCACAUAUGACAAUGACGUCAGCAUGCCACGUUCUGGUAAUGGAAAGGGCGUCGAAAGUGAAAUUUGUGAUAAUGUGACUUGUGGAGACGGGGAAUAUUGGUUUUCUACAGAAAUUGGCUGCCCUUCAGGUACACCCACACAUGUACUACUAUGCUUUCAUGUCAGCCUCUUUCGCUUGAUUGGAGUCAAAUUUAACUAUAUGUACAUCAUAAUAAAUGAGACUUUGUGUAUACAAAUAAUUUACAAAUUUCUACAAAACUUUCAAUAAACCUGUACCUUCUUUGAAGAAGAGUCUAAAGGUCCUUUUCGUCGAAGUUUUUUUGUGCUCCUUUUCUUCGGCACAGUGUCGGAUCCAAUAUGUUCUAGUUCGUAUUAUUUUGGGAAUUAGUAUGUAUAGUGGCUAACUCAUUGUUUCAAUGCGAAAUAGUAUUAUUUCCACAAAUUGACUUCGUCAUCACUAGCUCCUUGGAUUGCAGUCCAAUCCAUUCUAUUAUGACACAGGUCUAAACUUUGCCAUCUGCAGCAAGAUUUGCCAGCGUAGCAAAAGCUUGGCACGUACUGUCAUAUCUCAAUUAUCUAGGCGAACUAACCAACCCGUCAUAAUUGACCGUGACCCUUGAAUAUGCUCUACUAACCUCUCUUCUCCAUCGUCGCAAAAUGCACUACUCGUGAAGUGAUGUUAUGUCAUUAUGAAUCAACACGGUGAGGGCAUGCCUGCAUAUUAUUCCUCUAAACUCGAACAAGUGGCAGUUGGAACUAAUUUCACAGUCCUCAGGUUGAAACGUAACUUCGAACGAUUUCUUCUUUCGACGUUGUUCAUGUAUGACAUCUUCCCAUAUAUUGUAUGUCAUCCCAAGAAGUCCUUCUGAGGAAGAUACGAUAUCGCAGUAAACUUUCCCUGUGAACUCAACUUGAACUUCUCAAAAUUUUGAAAUGGUGUAUACUGACUGAAACUGCUUCUCCAUAUAAUAAGUUGUCGCAUACGGUACCAUUUGUGAAAACAAUUUAAAAUCAACAUGGAACUCUUUCUCAAUCUUAUUCCGUUAUACCCGUUCAUACUGUUCAACAAACUGUACCAAAGAAGUCUUUGAAUGAAAGUAUCUAUCAAAAAAAUGCAUUCAUGCUCUCACUUCUUUGCAUCGUCGACAUCCCUGCCCAGAAAGUAGUUUUCAAAAAGCAAGAGAUCCAACGACCUCUAUUAUCGUAAAGGCCUAACAACCAAGUAUUAUCAUGCAACCCAUAUGACUUGAUCAUCGUUAUCCAACCUCCUUCAAAUUCAAUUAUAGUUUGGGAAUCAUAAAACCAAUGCACGAAUAGUCGAAAGUAUUGAACCCUUACCCAUGUGGUAGCCGAGCUUCUCAGACAACUUCUUCAGGUUUGAGAGCGGUAAUGAAAAUUUUACAAAACGUUUUUUUUUUUUUUUUUUGCAAUAAAAAAUGUUAGUUACACUACAUCAUUGAAUCUUAAGAACCGAUUUUUCUGAUGUUCUUGUUUGUUUUGGGCUUCAAUUGCCAAAUAUGAGAGAUCAAGUGUAUAAUGGUGCUAAUAAUAUGCGUGAUGCUUGGUAUGAAAUAUAAGCAUUAUUUUUUAGAGAUUAUUCAUAUGCAUAUUAUGUCCAUUGUUUUACCUAUCAUUUACAACUUACAUUAGUUUUAGCAGUUAAAGAUGUCAUGGUUAUUAAUUCAUUCUUGUUCCAUUUGGACGGUGUUAUUAAUAUGAUUACAUCAUCUUAAUUGAAAAGUGCCCAAAGAAAUAAAUUGAACAUUUGUUAAAAAUUGAAGAACAAGAGUCUAGAAGUGGUGAUAAUCAGAUUGUGAAUUUGCAACGAGCUGAAUGUACUCGUUGGUCUUCUCAUUACCACUUUGUAAAGAGUUUAAUUGAUAUGUAUGCUACAACUUGCUAGGUGCUUAAAUAUCUUAGUGAUCAUUCUCCAAAUACAAGAUCUCGAUUCGAAAUGGGUGGUGUAUACAAAAACAUAACAUUCGAAUGGGUAAAGUGGACUCCGCUGCCAAGCUACAAAUGAGUGAAAUACAUACAUAAGCAACCAACUUUGUAAUCCUUGCUCCCAUCCAAUACAGGGGCAGGGUGUUCAAGUUCGAAAUAAACAAGAGUAACUUAUUCCAUCAACUGCAUGGGCUAUCCGAAAAGCAUCAAAAACCUGUUCUACCUUGAUCUGACAAAUGUGGAUAGUAGUACGCAAACGCAUGGCCUAUAAUACAAAUUUAACUUCCGUAAGUGCAUGAAUAAAAAAUCGAAAUGAAUUAUAAAUACACGAUCAAUGUUAACUUACCUUGCGAAUUGUACAAGUCAUUUGUUGACGACAAAUUCAUCAUAUUGGAAGAUUGUAAGCAUUGCACAUAUGACAAUGACGUCAGCAUGCCACGUUCUGGUAAUGGAAAGGGCGUCGAAAGUGAAAUUUGUGAUAAUGUGACUUGUGGAGACGGGGAAUAUUGGUUUUCUACAGAAAUUGGCUGCCCUUCAGGUACACCCACACAUGUACUACUAUGCUUUCAUGUCAGCCUCUUUCGCUUGAUUGAAGUCAAAUUUAACUAUAUGUACAUCAUAAUAAAUGAGACUUUGUGUAUACAAAUAAUUUACAAAUUUCUACAAAACUUUCAAUAAACCUGUACCUUCUUUGAAGAAGAGUCUAAAGGUCCUUUUCGUCGAAGUUUUUUUGUGCUCCUUUUCUUCGGCACAGUGUCGGAUCCAAUAUGUUCUAGUUCGUAUUAUUUUGGGAAUUAGUAUGUAUAGUGGCUAACUCAUUGUUUCAAUGCGAAAUAGUAUUAUUUCCACAAAUUGACUUCGUCAUCACUAGCUCCUUGGAUUGCAGUCCAAUCCAUUCUAUUAUGACACAGGUCUAAACUUUGCCAUCUGCAGCAAGAUUUGCCAGCGUAGCAAAAGCUUGGCACGUACUGUCAUAUCUCAAUUAUCUAGGCGAACUAACCAACCCGUCAUAAUUGACCGUGACCCUUGAAUAUGCUCUACUAACCUCUCUUCUCCAUCGUCGCAAAAUGCACUACUCGUGAAGUGAUGUUAUGUCAUUAUGAAUCAACACGGUGAGGGCAUGCCUGCAUAUUAUUCCUCUAAACUCGAACAAGUGGCAGUUGGAACUAAUUUCACAGUCCUUAGGUUGAAACGUAACUUCGAACGAUUUCUUCUUUCGACGUUGUUCAUGUAUGACAUCUUCCCAUAUAUUGUAUGUCAUCCCAAGAAGUCCUUCUGAGGAAGAUACGAUAUCGCAGUAAACUUUCCUUGUGAACUCAACUUGAACUUCUCAAAAUUUUGAAAUGGUGUAUACUGACUGAAACUGCUUCUCCAUAUAAUAAGUUGUCGCAUACGGUACCAUUUGUGAAAACAAUUUAAAAUCAACCUGGAACUCUUUCUCAAUCUUAUUCCGUUAUACCCGUUCAUACUGUUCAACAAACUGUACCAAAGAAGUCUUUGAAUGAAAGUAUCUAUCAAAAAAAUGAAUUCAUGCUCUCACUUAUUUGCAUCGUCGACAUCCUUACCUAGAAAGUAGUUUUUAAAAAGCAGGGGAUCCAAUGACCUCUAUUAUCGUAAAGGCCUAACAACCAAGUAUUAUCAUGCAACCCAUAUGACUUGAUCAUCGUUAUCCAACCUCCUUCAAAUUCAAUUAUAGUUUAGGAAUCAUAAAACCAAUGCACGAAUAGUCGAAAGUAUUGAACCCUUACCCAUGUGGUAGCCGAGCUUCUCAGACAACUUCUUCAAUAUAUGCCAUAAGCACCAUCUGUGCCUCAUAUUUGAAAAUAUGAUCUGAAUUGCAUUUUGCAUUGUCCUCUCCUGAUCAGUAAUUAUUCUAUUUGGAACUUGACCGUGCAUGCACUUAAGCCAUUUUAUUAAAAGCCACACGAAAGUGUCUGUGUCCUUGUUUGACACCAAACCACAACCAAGUGUGUCGAUUGUCUGUGAUGAUUUACUCCCACAAAAGGGGCAAAUGACAUGCCGUACUUAUUGGUCAGAUAGGUGGUAUCAAAUGUAACAACAUCCCCAAACUCCUUAAAUGCCUGCAUAGGCCAAUUUUCUUUCCAAAAUACAUUCCUGAGAUGUGAGUCGUCAUCUAAAUCCAUGCUAAAGUAAAAACCCGAGCACCUUGACUGCAUUGUCGAAAAGUAGUUUUGUAUUGUUGCGGCAUCACCUACUUCAAGUUGUAGUCGCCUAACUAGUUCAAUAUAAUUACGAGAAUUUUUUUCUUCGCAAGUCAUGUUCUCAUAACCACAUGCCUCUACCACUGUCGAGUCGUAGGAUCGGUGCAAUGGAAUGCCUGCUAGAUCAUUCACUUGAAGCUUCCUUUUGACAUGAUUACUCAUUUUUCGAUUACAAUGAUAUAACAUAGACAUCAUCGGACUUGUUCUAUGAUUGUGCUCUAGACAAACUAUGUUAAUUCUCCAAGAGCCAUGAAUAUCUGAAUAUGUAGAUAUUCUAGUUUUACAAUCCGUCUGAAUUGUCAGUUGCGGCUUGAAAAAGCCGCUUGUAGUACCACUUCUUUUGCCUUCCCGACUACAUUUCAAAGUCAAAUAUUUCAACAUUCCAUUGUCAUCCUUUUUAGAUGUCCAUUUCCUAAUUGGAAAACCAACGACAUAGGCAUAUGCCUUGUAAAAAUCAAACAUUUCAUUUUCAUUCUUGAACGUCAUUCCGACCUUGGGCACAAUAUUACCAUCUCCUUUUGCGAUUUCAUCUUCCAAUUGGUUCAUAUUGUCUUCCACAUUCUCGUUGUCUGAUUCCACCAAAAUAUACUUAUCCACAUCAUCCAUGAUUUCUUCAGCUGUUAAAAAUGUAAUCAUUCAAGUUCAGCAAAACAUGAACACCAUACAAUACACACCGAUACAAAUCACUACCCCCAAUUUGACGAAAAAAACAGAGAAAUGUAUGGUUUCAUAUAUGGAUGCAUUGACAUUUUGGAUAAUGCAUUACCAAUAUCAUACAAAUUCCAAAAAUUUGAAGAAUGCAGUAAGUAAACCAAAGUGUUAAUACCUUGUAAUGGGUCAGGUGAUUGGUUUACACGUAGCUGGAGCAAGAAGUUAGGUUGGUUGGACGAAGCUCGAAGCUACACCCAAAGAAGCUGGAUCCUCGCGUUCAGAAGCUUGAGUGAGCUAGACUAAAGGAAGACAACCAGCUUCACAUUUCGAUGGAGUAUAACUGAAAAAUGGAAACAAAGCUCGGAGCCCCACUGAAAGAAGCUGGAAGUCGGACUGAAGAAGAUGGACCUUCACGAGGUGUUUGGAUUUGGAUGACGACUUAUAGCCUGUUACAAGUUGGAGCCGCUGAACCGAUAAGACGAAGCUACAAUUGAAGAAGAUGAAGAUGAUGGCAAGAAGAUUAUGGCCACCGUUGACAAUAUCUCCCUGGUUUUCCCAGAUUACAA
rnacentral:lncRNA from 1 species